UUACGGACAAACUAAACGGACAUUUAAGUGGGCAAGAAUGCAGGCACUUGUCAUCUUAUAACUAAGGGCAUGAUUUGGAGAGAAAAAGAAAGAAGUUGUCAUCAAAGGUCACUGGUGGUGAGCAAGGACCAGCAGGGGCUAGCAGAGGGAUGCAGAGGCAUGCAGAUACGAGCAGGGGCAAGCAGCAACAAGUUGUAAUCGUUGUACGUUGUCGGAAGCAUCUGGGCUGGUCAGCAGUGGUCAGCAGAGGCCAGCAAAAGUCAGCAGAGGCUGGCAGUAACCCAUAGUAAUCGUUGUACGUUGUUAGAAGUAUUAGGAACGGUCAGCAGCGGUCCGCAGAGGUGAGCGGAGGCCUGUAGGAAGAAUGAGAAGUACUUACACGUAGUCGUACCUUGUAUCUCGUACUUCAGGUAAAAAUGGGUAUAGCAGGAUGAAACUGUUUUAUAACAUUACCUGUUAACUCAAAAUUACCGUUCUAAAAUUAAACGCUAUGUUUGUAUGCCCGAAGAUAUAUUGUGCUGUAUCCUCUUAGAAUUAAAAAUUUCUUUUUCAUUACGGUGCUUUGCUUAUGCGAGCUUUACAUGUACGAGUCAGGUUUUGCCGACUCUUCGAAACUCGUCCGAGCUCACGUACGCGUGAUCUGACAUAGUGUGAGAAAGUGGAACGAGGCGUCCCCGGUGCAUCCGUACCUCCGACGGAUGGAGGUCCACCAUCUGGCUCCUCUGCCGGCAUCUCUGGUUCAGGGAGCUGGUAGUUCUGGCCUCGGCACUGUAUUGUUUGUAUCGUUCCCACGGAGCAGCCGUUUUGAAGGGUUCCGUGACACUCAAUCAGGGGCUCCAUAACCUCGCUACGAUUUUUAGAACGCGAAGACAUGCACAAAUAAUUAACACGUUGACCAAAAUUUUGAUCUCGGACAACUCUAAACGGCAUAACUUAAACUUCGCCUUGGUAUCUAUUUCUGUUUAAUUUGGUACUUUCUUUAACAUUCCAACACGAGAAUUGUUUUAGCAAAACGAAGUAAUGAACAUGUAUUUACGGAAUUUCAGCAUAGUUCGAAGCUCUGAUACGGUGAACUUUGACAAGUAAAACACGUAUAAACAAAAUUUUCUCGAGCUCCACAUGAAUGUUCUAGAGUGUAAAGAACUUCGAACGUCGAAACAUUUGAGAACCGCUGCCUUCCACAGAUAUAUGUAUACUGCAGCGGGCAGGUUUUUCGAUCAAAUGUACAUAAGCACAUGUCAUCCUGACACAUUGGUAACCAACAAAAUUGCAUCUUUUGUUUUAAUGUUGCACAAUUUGUAUAUAUUUGUUUCAGUUAAAUUUAUGUUAAUAUUUAUUGCUGUUAUCAUCGGUAUUAUAUUAUAUGUAUUUCUAUAUCUGUAGAUACGAUAAGAGAUGAACGUAUAUUUGUAAAAUUGUCAAAGAUAUGUGUAUAUGGAAUUUGGAAGCCAUCUAAAGCCAAAAGACACGGCUAAAAUCAAAUAAAUAUUUAUUGCUAUUCUUCGCUAUUCACUUUUUCGGUGAAUUAAAUAAAUUCUGCUGCAAGAGUUUGUAUUUAUUCCCUCAGGGACUCCACCUCCGCCCACGCUUUCUCUUUGUAACACAUUCAGAUAUGUAUAUUGCUAUGUGCACGAUACAAACCAUCCUCAGAUUCGAUUGUAAACAUUUAAACGUGCCAAAAUUCAAGUCGAUUAAAAAUUUUUAAAAAUCUGUUACAUUAAUUGC